CACGUAGGGGGCAAGCGUUGUCCGGAAUUACUAGGCGUAAAGGGCAGGUAGGCGGAUAGAUAAGUUUGAUGUUAAAGGCGACGGCUUACCCGUCGUAAGGCAUUAGAUACUGUUUAUCUGGAAUACGGUUGGGGAAGACAGAAUUCCUGGUGUAGCGGUGGAAUGCGCAGAGAUCAGGAGGAAUACCAAAAGCGAAGGCAGUCUUCUAAGCCGUUAUUGACGCUAAACUGCGAAGGUGUGGGUAUCAAACAGGAUUAGAUACCCUGGUAGUCCACACAGUAAACGAUAAUCACUAGGUGUCGGGUUCGAAGAGGAUUCGGUGCCGUAGCUAACGCGAUAAGUGAUUCGCCUGGGGAGUACGAUCGCAAGGUUGAA
rnacentral:rRNA from 1 species